GCGAAAGUGACUGGACUUCCAGAGACACAGUCUUUCCCCCUCUCCUGGAAGAGCACGGCUUGGGUCGCUUCUUAUUGUUGGAUCAUUUGAUUUUAUCCUACCUGGUGAAGUAAAUUAUCAUCACCUUAUUCAAAUCUGUAUUUAACUUUUCUUCCACUUCAUCAUCUGUGCAGACUCUAUGAUCCCUGCCCACCCCCAAGAGCAGCAAAGAUGCUUUUCUUGACUCCAAGUUAAACUGCCUCAGUUCUCACCAAUUUAUUUUUGUAAUCUAAUCAUUUAAACUUCGUCUAGAUUCUCUCACAAACAUCAGUGAACAACUGUAAUCAGAAAGAAGAUCAUCAAUACAAGAAAAUAAAAUCUGUUAUUGAACUAUUACUUGCUAGAUUUACCACUCUUUAAAAAUGAUGUUCAUUAUUAAGUCAAGAUAAGACAUUCUACAGGUCUUCUGAAGUAUCUUAAUAUUUUAUGUUAUCUCAUGAUGAAUUAUUCUGUGAUUACUAGAGAAACUUAGGUAAGCCUCGCAAUAUAUUUUUCUCACUUCUCAUGAUUUAGAAACAAAUGUCAUAUGAUCUAAUAAUUCUAUAGUCUAUUAGUGGGAAUACUUAUUAAUUUUGUAACUUAAUAACAGAACUAUCAAAAACAAUGACAAUCAGUAGAGGUAUUUCUUAUGUACUUUCUAGAAUCUUUAAAUUGCAUUUUUAUAUUGAGUGGUUAAUUUUUUAAUCAGUAAGAGAUUUCAAAGAAAAAGCCAUAAAUUUAAGUAUUUUCACCCAAAGUCCCCUAAAUAAUAGACUUUAAAAUCUAUUGAUAUAAAGUAUAUGAAAUCUCAUGGUUCUCUUUCAUCGUUUUCAUCUGUAGGCCUCUUUGGAAGGAGGGAGGCAACACAGAGGGCUGGUAAUCUCUGUUUUUGUCCAGCAUAGGUCAGAAAAAGGACAAGCCACAGAAAAAUAAGAGUUUUGUUAGAGGCAAUGAAUAUUCUGAAAUACCUGAAAAUUUUUGAAAUGACAUGUAAGCUAUAAUUCUAACCUAAAACUGAAAAUAAAUUUAAAUUUUCUGAGCUCUGAUUAUAAAUAAAACAGUAUAUAAACACUUUAAA